GCCUGGGCCUGGGGCGGACCCCACAGCAACCAGAGAAGUCAGCUCGUCCUCCCGUUCUGAGUUGAGUUCCGACAAAGAGCCCUAACAGGUGAUUUGGGUUUGAAGACUGCUCUUGGCUACUAACUAGCCGUGUGACCUUGGGCAGGUCGUUUGACCUCUAUGGGGCUUCGUUUCUUCCACUGAAAACAUUUGAACAAAACAAGUAGUACUAAGAGGGAAGCUCGGGCCCCCUUUCUCCUUCCCGAAGAAGACAGGCCCCACACGCAAGCUUGGAGGUAGGCUUUGGGAGCUCGCGUGUGAGGGGCUCCGGCGACUGGCUCGGAUUGGUUGGAAAGGUGAGAUGCUUUCUCCCAGGAGUCUCACCUCCUGAUCAGGGGCCUAAAGAGGAAAAAGAAAAGGAAAAAAAGGACUUGGAGAUUUUCCUUCUGACAUGCCAGUCUUGAGCCAAGGCCUCCAGCUUUAGCCUUGUGCCACACUCUCCCUACCCCUGUAAGUCUCGUGCCUUGGGGCUCUGGUGGGGAGGCAUGUGGAGGGGAUAACGGGAAGAUGGGAGGGAGGUCAAGGUGUAGAGUGAGGGUGGGGUCAGGAGCCCAGUGCCCGCGAGACCCUCAAAAGCUUUUUCUCACCCGGGACGUGUGUUGGUGCAAUAAGGGACCUUCCGACUGCUUCUGAGUUUACUCUGCAAAUCUAUCCUGUGCACCACUACCAGGUUCUUCUCAAAGCCCUGCUUUUAUGAUGAACCUCCCCCCACUCCCCCACACACACCAAAACGUUUUCGAUUCCUUGCGAAAGCAAAACAAAAAUAACCUGUUCUGGUUCACGGUGCCCGACCCUGCACUUCUGAAACACUUACUGUCUCACUGGUUUGGCACCUUUCUACUCUGUAAUCUAUAAUUGUCUCUUCGAGGUUGCCGGGGAAGUUGGAAACCUAUUGAUUCAUUUUCUUAUUCGUUGCCUUGACAAACACGUAUGGAGUCUUUCCUGGGUGCCAGGCAGGGUGCUCUGCGAAAAUGCCUCCUUGUGCUCGAGGAGUAGGUCUCAUCUCGAAACGAUGACAGGCACGCCGCGAAUUAGAAAGUAGUGUGUUGACCGGUGCCCUGCAAGGGGGCGCGCGCGACGGGAAGGGUGGCAGAGGCUGAGGCGUGUGGUGGUGUUGACGGAAGUCUCGAAGGGGAGAUGUUGGAGCAGGGCUCACCUGGAAAAAUGCAUGGGGACUGCCCAGGUGGGGCAGCAGGCAAGGGGCGGGGGCUUGGUAGCCCAAUGGAAUAUUCAGAGGCAUGGGGGGAGGGGGUGAGAGAGAGAGGGAGGGCAUCAAAAAGGAAUGGCAGAUGUCUGCAGCAUGGCUUCUAAAUGACCGUGGCAAACAAUGAACCCAAAGAGGCGAGGAGGGACCACAUUCUUAAGGGUGCGUCUUCCUUCCCCAGAGCUCAGGUUCUGAAGGCAGUGGGAGCUCGUGAAGGGGCGUCUUCAGUUGGGUGUCGGGUGGGGGUUCUGGAAGUUCAUCCAGUCCAGGCUUCUUAGUGGCCCACUCUAGUCAUCGAGGCCAGACAUGAUGAGGGUUUGAACCACCUUCAGCUGGGGGCAGGGAGGGGCCAGGAGGGGCCCGAUGGCAGGAGUCAGUCUGACAGAAAGGCUCUGCAGAGCUGCCUCCUCUUUGGAGCCUCUCGUCCUACCUCCUUAUCCAAGUCGUAGUGUCAUAGAGACAGAAGGGAAGCUGGGGACCAUGUGGACCAAUUCCUCUCCCAUUACACAGAUGGGGAAAAUGGAGGUUCGGUCAAAGGACAUGCUUCAGCCAAGGUUAAGAAGAGAAAUGGCUGCUGGCAUCGCACGGGGCCCACGACUGUGCGCUGGCUAGAUCUGGAGGUUGAAUCUACCCACUGGUGACUUUGCAUCUGAGGGCCGCCUCCUCUCUGGUUCUUGAAAAAGAGACAGGCCUCAUCCUAUUAAGUGGGUAGGAGUCCGUGUUAGGCAGGGUCACAGGAAGCUGGGGGCUGGAUAACACUGAAGUUGCUCACCUGGUGAUGCCAUAAAGGUAGCAUCCUAUCUUCCUUCUUCGAAGAGUGAGGCCCAAACUCAACUUUAAAAGGUGACUUUAACAGAAAGUCCCCACAGCCCUUUAGCUCUGUCUGGCCCUAGGCACAGCAAUAAAAAGGACAAGUUUGAGCUUUUGAAACAACCAUGUAGAAAUGCAACCUGAGGUCGGUCAGAUACCUCCCGAAAGACAAUCUGGGGACGAAAAACACAAUGGUUCCCCGACCAUCCACCGCCACAAGAGUCGGGAAUUUCAAAGGGAUGCCUCAGCACCCUGCCGUAGUCUGAGCGCGUUGGAAAAGACAUUCUAGAACCUAGGUGGUCACUGGCUAUCAAAGGUACCUGAAAUAGUGCUGCGGUGUGAGAAAAAUCCGGGCUGGCGUGUGGCUUUAAUGAAGGCUUUAAAUGCCUGUAAGGCGUGAAUGAACAGAACUCUCAGAAUCCCUGGAGAAGGGUUCUGGCCCACCCAAUGAUUUAGUUUCUUGAUUACCGUAAUUACGUAUCCAUAAUGCAUGUUAUAGGAAGGGAAAGAGGCGGCCGGGGUCCUGGACUAUAAUAGUCUAGGUCGGUGUAAGCUGGGCACAGCCUCUGACAUGUUUCUUAAUAGCAAAGGCGUUGGACACACUGUAGACUGCUUACCUAGGCUUUAACCCGUGUUUUUUUUUUUUUUUUUUUUUUUAUUUUUUUUUUUAAGCCAGUUGUUUCCAACUGUGUUAUAACAUGGCAGAGAGAAGGGGAGCAUGUCCCCAUCUAGGCCCUGCAGGUUUUAGAACCUGUAGUGGAGCUGGGGGUAUAGGAACAGACACACAAACAGGGGAUCUGGAGUUAGAGAGCCCGGACUGGACAUUCCAGAUGUCGCCCGUGGGCUCGCGUCGCUAGGCCUCAGUUUCCCCAUUUGUGAGACAACCGCUUGUAAAAAACGAGAGCGCCUUCUGCUUCAAGGUCAUUCAACGAUCACGUGCAGGAAUGCUGUAGGAUUUGCAGCAUUUUUAGUGUUUGUCAAGGUGAAGAUGAAAACCGGAUGAAACAUGAGGUGGGCAGGUCAGCAAGGGGGUCUCGCUGGGUCAAGUGCCUGGUGGCACUUGGGUGGUCAGUGAGUUGUGCGGUGUCUUGGCUCUUUCCGCAGAGGAGAACUUUUUGUUUGGUUGAUUUUGACUUGUUCUCUUGACACCGCGGGAGGCAUUAUUCCCCCCCCCCCCCCCCCGGCCGCACCCCCCAAAUGUGUUCAACGUGCUGUCAUCGUGAUAACGGUUUUUUCCGUUCUUUUCAAACGUGCUCUCUCCUCUGUGCCCCUGCAUGCUUCUGGUAACCUUGUUACCUCCUGCUUCUCAAGCGCGGAGCCCUGCAGCCUCACUCCCUGUCGGUCCCUGUGCCGGUGGAGUGUCCCCUCUCUGGCAGCAGCCAGGGGCAGAGGGGCAGCCGAGGAGGCCGAUGGGCUGCCACGCUCAUCUGCAAGACGAGCUAGCGGAUCCGAGGGGACUGGUCAGACCAGGAGGAGAGCAGAAGGCAGUCCUGCUUGGCCCUGAACUCCCUGAGCCCUCGGGCUCCGUGUCCGCGUCUUCCGUAUGACCCCAGCCCUUCCCCAAGGCAUCCCAGGCGUUGCCCUCUGUCCAGAUUCCUUCCAAGCACUGCCCUAGGCUCCCUCUCACUCCCUCUCACUCACUGCCAAGAAUGUCAACGCUGACAAUGUCUUCCUCUUCCUCAUUUCUAGUUCCCUAAUUAUCUUGCUGAUCAAGACAUGUUUUCUUGGCUGUCUGGAUUGUGCUCAGGUAGCUCAGUCUCGUCUCCUACUUCUAAACAAAACAAAACAAAACAAAACAAGACAAAACGCAACUUCCUCCUGCCCCAGCACGAGUGAUCGUAUCCAGAAAUGCUUACGAGAUACCUUUUUCAUACACAGUACUUAAGGACUCCUCUCUAUAUCAGUAACAUUUCCCCUUGGGCGAAGCUGUGUCUUAUAGCUUGUACCGGCUUCUGUCUCUUGUCAGUUGCUUAUUUAUACACUGACAGUGUCCCUGUCCUCCAGCCAAAGGUCACCAGAAGCACACCUCUGGUGGGACCAACUUGGUUUAUUGACUCACUCUGCCGCAAAGGAGAGAUGCGCCUUAUGGGGAAUCAGGGCAGUUUCAGUAAGAAGAUGUUAGAAAGGACUUAUUAUAGGAUCUGGGCUUGUUUAAGAGAUGUGGGGAGGAGGGUUCACGGAGCGGGGUGGGGGGGCGCUUUGCUUUGCAUUCGAUGCUGUCAGAAGAGACGUUAAUUCUAUGAUUGGUGUCUUAUUAAACCUGAUCUAGAAGGCAGGGGGAAUGAAGUGAGAUUCGGACCAUAAUUGGGGUAGACGCAGCACUCACUCGUAUCAGCCACAGGAGGAUGUCUGGUCACUGCUGUGGCUUGGAGAAUACAAAGGGCUGAGUGAUGUUGCCAAGACAGGAGCCGUCAGGGGCUGCUCUGCCCUUCCUUAGUCCUCUCUUUUGACCAAGGGCAAAGGAAGUUUGUGAGACACUCUAUGAUCUUCAAGUCUUCACCAUUGCCAAGAUUUUGCUGAUUAGGAGGCUGUUUAGAGAAUGUACUCUGUGGUUGGACAAGAGUUGGUCUCUCCUACUCCUUGGUGGCAGGGAGAGUUUCUUAAUCUUCUGAUGUGACAAAGACUGCAUAGGAGCUUUGAAGACUGCACAGAAAUACACCGGGCAGCUGUGCGACAGGCAGCGACUGGAAACAAAACUUGCUGUUGGCUCUUGUAAUUGGCCCCGAGGACAGGGGGCCUGCAUUAUCAAAUCCAGGCAAUGCAAAUGUGUCCCAAACCCAACUGUUUUUUUUUUUUUCUAGGUAUCUGGGUGACUUUUUCUUUUAACCUACUUCUAGAGUGUUCUACUUGAGCCUGUAGUGUUUAUAUAGGUGCAGCCAGAGGGUUUGCUGUAGUGUAGAUUCCCCUGGGCUAUCAAAGGAGAAAUUGAGGGCUGUGUGAUGACCGUGGCAACUGUGGCUAAUACCUUUAAGUUUAAAAUGGUUGCUUUGGUUUCCAGAGCAGCGGGUGUAUAACUGAUGACACCCAGUGGGGUCAGGGUAGGUUUCAGACCAUCUUUUCCAGCUGAACCAUCCCUACUGUGGGGAUCGCGGUGCGCACAGUACGCGAGGAGAACGAGUCUGUUGUCUCUUACGGCAGUUCUCCCAGGUAGUUUGUGUUCGUCUGUCUUUGGAAAUUUCUGGACAUUUCUUUUCGGGGAACAUGAUCCUCUGGGAGGCUGGUGAUUUUAAACAUCUGAAAGCCUCUAAAAUUUGUCUGGAAACAAGAAAACUUAGUGUGUGGCAGGUGGUAUAAACCUGAUGUCCACAUAAAAAGUAAUGUCCCAGUGGGGCAUGGACCAUAUUGGCAAUGCCUUUUAUCCCAACGGGAGACAGCCACGUAUUUUUUUUUUUGCCCUCAGGGUGGGAAGCUUUCCUGAGUGGAGUUAAACAGCUUUUGCAAAGCAGGAUGGAGUGUCUCUGGAGAGAACAAACUGUUGCAGCAAAAACAUGCCCGAUACUAGUUUCCAUUUCUGAUGGUGUUGUAAUGACCUAAACAGAAGGGUAUUCCUGGUCGGGGUCAAGGUCUGAUUAAAAAAAAAAAAAAAUCUAAGUUUGGGAUUAAUUAUAUGAGUAUUGGAAGUACUUGUAGAAGAAAAUCUACCUUCUGUAGUAUUUAAAGGAACAGUUAUUAAUUGUUAUCUAUCAUCAGCAGGAAUUACGGGCUGAGGACCACACGAGAGAGUUUUAUUUUUUUCUUCAGGGGCAGAAGACCUCAGGGGGUCAAAAGUAAGAGGAUUUAGAUAGGGAGGCCUUGUUGAGAUGUCUUUUAGUUAGUUAGUUAGUUAGUUAGUAGAGAGUGUCAAAGUAUAGUCCCAGACGAGGUUAGGGGUAGAGGGAAAGAAAAAUGGCGCUGAAGAAUCAGGAUUAAUCUCUCUUGGUGUCUCAGGUGGAAAUUCACCACUUCUCUGGUCCGCAGCCCAUCUGUCGUCUAGGCAGAAGCUCUCCCUUUUCUGCAGGCAGCUUUUUCUUGAGGUUUCAUAAGAACCCUCAAUGGGACGUCUUCCGAUGGAGUAGAUUAGUUGCCCAGUGGUUUGGUGACGUCUGUCUUUGUAGUUGGGAAACGCAAAGCUGGUGACCCAACAGCUUGGCAUUUUCCUGCUGUGUUAGUUGUUAACAGUACUUGAUAAGGUCUUUUAAGGCUCCAAGGCUGUCUUUGUCCAGCUAUUUCAGAAUCCCAGCACCCCGGGCCUCCUGGUGUGCAGGUCACACAGAGGUUGCUUAAGUGGGACCUCACCUGGGGUGAGACCAGGAGUCCUAGCGGUAUGCCCUAUUAUGGAGUCCGGGAUCCUGGGCCAAGGCAGUGAGUGCUUCAGCUGAAUCUCAUCGGAACCUCUAUUUGAGUUAAUACCCUGUCCCCAGCAUACAAAGUUGGGUAUCCUGACUCGUUGCAGGGAAAUAGAACCCGCAUCACGGACAACCGUGGGACUUGUCGGUGGGCUUUUCUUCUUUCCCAGAAGUUCUCCUUGAUUGAUCUGGAAGCUUCGAGAACAGAAGCUACGUGUGGUGUUCCUCAUGGUGUCUAUUGUUGCAGCUGGCACAGCAGUUGCCCUUUAAAUUAGCAGCUGGGUAUGGACUGAAGGGAUCUUAACCUGUUAAUCUGGCAGAGCUGAGCAAUUGCCGUCCCUCCUCCUCCUCUGGAGGCCACAGGGGCUGAAAGGAAGACAGACUCGUCGGUAAGGAGGAUGAAGAUAACACUCCAGAGGGAGCAAAUCCCAAACUGGAACUCUCUUUCUGGCUGUUUUCCAAGGGUGAGAAGUUGGAUUUCUACUCCUGGACUGACUUGGGACCAUGGAGACUGUGGGGGGGGUGGGGCUCUUCUGGGAGAAGGGGGGCGGUGCCUGAGACGGAAGAGAAUUCCCAGAGCUGCCUUUCUGGAAGAAUUGAUGUGAUCACAACAGCAAGGGUCGUUACAAUAUUUCUCACUUGUUUGUCUCGGUUUCAGUUGCUCUUUCUUCUUUCCCCUCCUCUGCUCUUGAGAAACAACAAUGCCGUAAAACAUUUGUGGCACUUACAUGCCAGGCAUUGGGACUUGGGUCAUAGAGAUGAGCAAGGCGUGAUGCCCAAGGCUCACUCUUCCGUGAUUUAUGGGGUUGGGGGCGACGGCAGAGAGGCGGCACCCAAAGUACAGCUCCCUGUUCCAGACCCUCUGAGCUCUGGAUGACUUUCGGCUCCUCCUUUGGGCUCUACGCAAAUACACAGAGAAAGAGGCAUCACUUUGCUCCUUGAAAGCCAAGGGGAGAGGCCCCGGAUAGUUACCUGUGGCCAUGUGGAAGGAGAGGGGGGGACUCACAUACCGGCGAUGUGGCCUCCGCCAGCCAAUUCCAGGGGCCCAGCACCCAGGGGUCUGCCUGAAGGGAUAGGAUGGAGACAGGGUUGGAACAAGGAGUAGAGAGGCUCAGCGGUGGUUCAGGUUGAGCCAAGGCCAAGGUCAUUAGGCUGGGAGUGAAAAAUGGGGCAGCAAGAGUGGUCUGGCAGCUAGUGGAAGAGGGCUCGGUCCCAGCAGCCCCACAGGACCCCUGAGCCUGUCCUGAUCCUCCCCCGCCCCCCUGAAAUCUGGAGAAGCUGAGCCUGGGGGUGGGGCACAUUCCCUUGGGCUGAGCUGGCUCCUCUCCCCAUGCCCUGAAAGACCCUCGCGGGGCCCCUGGGCUUCGCUUUCUCCCAGGGCAGUCGUGUCGCUCCUCCCCACCUUCUCUCCCUCCAAAUAUAUCUUCAUUAGUAACCAUAAACGUCAGAGUCAGAGCCGUUAGAAGGCUGUUCCUAGAUAAAUAAUGCUUUUCAUAUUUAAUUUAUGAGUAGUUCUGCAGCCUCUUUGGGGUGUGCUGGGUUAAUUAAGAGCUGAAUUAGAUGGAGCUGCAUCUCCCUAUGGAGACUCAAUUAAAGUCUUUGUGACUGAGAGACAGAGAGAGAGAGAGAGAGAGAGAGGGAGAGAAGGAAGUGUAGUUGAAGAGAAGUGUCCGUUGGAGAACACCCUCUCCGUCACAGCCUCAACUGAGGGCCGGUUGGAGGGGAGCUCAGGAUGCUUGUAGUUGAGCCUUCUUUUACAGCUUGGAACCUUCUCCAGCUCCCGAGGCAGGUGGUCCAGCGUGUGGGAGGUGCAGGUACUCAGCUCCGGGAGCCAGGUCUGCUCUCCUGGCUGGCGUGGGGUUAACGCCCUGUAGCCAGGAAACCGGCCUGGAACUGGGCCACUUGCCCAUCAGACACCGCCAGGAGCUGGAUGUGGUGCUGGGGGAGCCGAUCCCAGGUCUUGGGCCAGGACUGUGGCUCCGAAAUGUCAACCCCUUACCCCCCAUUCCCAGUCCCCUUUGCUGGGACUGAGCGGAUGAGGGCCGUGUUUGCGCCGAGCAUUUCAUGGGCAGUUGAGGAAAUCUCCCAGAGCUCUGCUCCUCCCUGGGACGGCUGGGGUUCUCGCUGCUAGGGGAGGCUGUUAUGACAGGGGCUGGGCAUUCCCCCGCCUCCACCCCCAUUUCGUGGGAUCAGGCUGCAGGGCUCCAGCAGUCUGGUCCACCCCUCCCAUUCAGGGGUGAGUCGGUAUAGAGGUGGACGCAGAAUCCUAGGCUGCUGCCUGUCACCCACGCCCUCAAAUAUGCACGUGUGUGCGCGCGCGCGUAUGCACCUUCGCACACCCCCUUCACGGCUCAUGGAUUCACAGAAGGCUCUUACACACCACGAAUCUGGCACCCUUCGAGGAGCUGCGGGGACAGAUAUAUACACCCCUGGACCACAAGCACACUCUCCCAGUCUCCCGUUCAUACUCGCCGUACAGGGAAGCGUGUCCCCACAUCCCUGGAGACCCUGUCACAUCCUGUGUGGCCGGAUAGAGUCUGCACGCUUUCAGAGUAAUAAACCCUGGCAGCACCCCCUACGUCCCCAGACACGGUCACCAAGAGCCAGACCAUCGCAGCCUGUCUCCUGACCUCUUUACACGCUCACCCUCCUGCUAUAAACCUCGGGCUGCGAAAUCGGUCCGUCUACUACACGCGCUCGUGCAUGUGUGUGCACAGGUGUGCAUGCACGUGCACGUGCCCACACACAAACACGCUUCAGCACAGGGCUCGAGUCCAGACUGCUGCUUCGCUGUGUAAAGACAGAUGGAGCGCUCUUCGUGACUGUCCCUCCGCCUCCUGAGCGGUUCAUUGUAGGAUCUGCAGCAAAUGGAAAAUGAACCUUCUCGUGAAGAAUAGGAAAAAGCAGCAUGAGCGGGGCCGAGCCCUCCGCAUGAGCACGCGUGCUCCGCGGACUCUGAGAGCCCGCCGUUUGCUCCCUCAUCCGUCAAGCCCGCCACUGCCACAUCUCGUACCCCGGGGACCUGUUUCCCUCAAAGGGCUCCUCCCAGCAAACCGGGCCGAGACGUGGCCCCUCCGUGGCCCUUUACCUUUGCCAGACCUUCGUCCUGUAGCCAGACUCGAAAGCUUGAACAGGUGGAGCUGGAAAUCACAGACGUGGGCGGAGGGGCUUCUCUGGCGCUCUCCGCAUUUGCCUGGUUGCUGAUUUGUAGCUUCCCUCCCAGUUUCAGGCCAGGUUCACAUGUGGGCACAGAUUUGGCUUCUCUGGCUAGUCCCGUGGGGCUUCUGCGCGGGACCGGUUUUGUCCUUCCCCUCGACGCCUUACAGGGGCUCACCUGGGGCUGGGCUCCCCCAAAGCAGUGUUGGGGACUUCAGUUCUGACCUGAGGGCUGGGAGGGCCUCAGAGAUUGUCUCUCUCCCCACCCUCGUGUACAGAAGAAGAGGAGGGACUUGACUGUGACCCCACGGCAGGUGAGGGGCAGACGGGCUCCAGACCCAGGGCUCCUGGCCCCUGCCAGCCUUCUUUCCUGCCCUUGGCUGUACCCGCCACCUUUGCUUUUCUUUCCUCGCCUCGUCUUUAUCUCAUGUAGGUGUAUCUUGCUUUCUACAACAGACAGGUUCUUCUAAACGUUGUCUGUGAAGCGAGAUUUCCACAUCAAAUCACGUUAUAAAGUGCACCUUCCCUGCCCCUAGGGGAGUUUGCUCUUUAGGCCCCGAAGUUUGUAGCGCUGUAGUUUGAAAGGGGCUUUACAUAUUUCCUUUGAUCCUCCGGAAGAGUCCCGGUGAUGGCAGGGAGGGCUGAGAAGUGACCCCAGAGAGCUACACCUUCUGCCUCUCGUCUGCUUUUUGGUGGGAAGUCUCUGUCUCUCUCACCUGAUCACUGAAUUCCUCGUGAGAUGAAACGCUCAGCUGGGAGACUGGAUCGCUUAGUUCUAUUUGGUGUUUUCCAAAGCAUGUUCCGCAGACCAUUGGUGCUGAGAAAUCUCUGUGAUGAAAGGUUCCUUGAUCAAACCAGUUUGAGAAAUGCUGUGUACGGUCCCUUCCCCUUGGAGACUUGCCACGCAUAUGAGCGCACGAAAAGCUCUGGGAAGUCCUGCUAUAGAAACCUGCUUAAUUCUGCCUUUUCUGAAACUUCUUUGGCUAUAGAAUCCUUUAUUUCUGGUAACACCUGUCGCGUGGAAGAGACAGUGGGAAUGUUGGUCUGGUUUAUUGUCUGUGUUAUUCUGGAUUUUUCACCUCUCGAGUUUAAGCGAUGCCCACUCCCCUUGCUGGGCUUCGCUCCCUCGCUCCCUUGGGCACCCUCGUAUGACCUCAGGACAGAGGCUGUAGCUGUUUUCUCUGGCUCCUUCAGAAGGGGCAAGAGCAGGGAGGGCUCACCGUGGGGCUGGACAGAGUGACCUGGAAGAGGUCAGGAGACUGAAGAUGGACGGCAGGUCAGUGGAGAGUCUUCCUCCUACUUGACAUCAGUCUCUGGAAAACCCUGGUCUCCGCCUCUGACCAGAGGCAGCCUCAAGUGUCUGUGCAUGCUUUGCCGAAAAGCAUAGCGAGAUUCAGGUCCCAGCUGCUGCCCUCCGGAAGCACAAGCUGCUCACCUCUAAGACUGUGCCUGUCCCCUUGGACAAUGACCCAGGGCCGGGACCGUGACCCCUCUUUGGGCACUUCCUCUGUGUCGAAUGUGUGAAUGAUUCAUCCUGAAAACACAGUGCCCACUUCCUGCCCGAACACAGGGUCCUUCUCAAUUUGUCAGCCCUGGGAAUCCCAGAGCCACCAGCCGGGGCUCUUCUUAGGGAAGCAGUCUGUGAACUUGGGGGCCACGCUUGUGUUUUCUCUUGGGUUUCACCCCAGCCUUAUUCCCCCAUCUUGCCCUCGGAAACCCCCGCCUUGUAGGAGCCUUGUCCCCUCUCCCUCCCUGCCUCCUCCUGCUGGUUUCUGUUUCUGGGCAAAGGGUAUGACCCAAGGUCGGCACAGGGCAGCUAGUCACCCAGCCCCUAGCCCACCUCCCGCUCCGCAGGUGGGUCAGAGGCCAGCCUGGCAGGCUCAGCCCCUGCAGGGAGGGUGGCAGUGUGGGUGAGUGAGUGCCGUUUGGAGAACUGGAGCCUGCGCGGGGGUCGCUGGGGCCUCAGAAGGACAGCAACACAGACGCUGGCAUUUGGGUCUGUACCUUUUCUGUCUCCCUGAAAUGAAGGAGGCAGUGGUCAGCGUGGUGAACAACAGACGUGCUUGUUUGCAGUCCUGGGUGCAGGGUUCUGCCCCUGGGACAGGAGGGUUUCUCCCCCAGCAAGUGUCAGGCUGGGACUCUCAGUGCCCCGAAGGAUGGACAGACGGCAGGGUGUGCUGGUUCGGACCAGGGCUUGAGUUCCCAGUGUUCUGCUUUGGGGUCAGUUGGAAAGUCUCACUUACCAGGUCACGUGGACCUGUCAUUCUGAGGUCAUGUUCCAGGUCACUUGGCGGGUUAGUGCCUGCCUACCAUGAGCCCCGUCCUGAACUGGGCCUGGGGUUUCCAGAGAUGAGAAAUAAGCCCAGGGCCCUGACCUCCAGAUGCUCCUAGUCUAGUGGGAGAGGCAGGUGCCCAGACAUCGAAAGGGGCAAAAUGGUAACAGAGGGGGGUGUGCAAGGUACAAUGAAUGCUACUCAGGAGGGAGCUGGGGCAAAAGCCUGGAAGGGGAGGUGACCCGAAGUGAGAGAUCAAAGCUGAGUAGCUGCUCUCCAGAUGGAUGAGGGAGAGGUAGACACAGUGGGGAAGUUACCAGGCCAGGCUGCGGGGCCUGGGUUGACACAAGGCAGGGGUGGCCUGGAGCAGGAGGCGGUGUAGAAGAGCAGUGGGCCAGCCCAGACUCAGCCCUGAGCCAAGGACAGCCCUGGGGGCUGUGUCAGGGUUAGCCCGGAGUCAGAACAGGUGCCAGGGUCACUACUGAAAGCCAGAGUGCUCAAGCUCGUAUUUUAAAAAGGCAGAUGGAGCCUGAGGGCUUGCCUGUCGUUUAUUCUGGUCCCUGGGCUGCUUAGCAGGUGAAAUGGGACUUAGGAUUUGGCCUUCUGGGGGACGGUGGCCUAGCAACGGGCCCUGGGGUCCCUGUGCUGUCCCAGAGCACCAGAAUGCGAGCAAACCAGACGGGAGGCAGCUCAUCCUGCCUUAAGGAGUGUGCCCUGAGGGGUUUCCCCACUGCCUCCUCCAGACAUUGUUGAGGGAGCGAUGAGAGCUGGGCUUGGCUGGGAGGCUCCAGGAUGGUCCCUGUCACCAGGCCCCUCGUUCUCUGGCCAUCCCCAGCAAGUGCUCACAACUCUCUCUGCAUGACCAUAACACGCUCCUCCCUUGCCAAGGCUUACUUCUUUUCUUUCCCCUCCCCGCGGGACAGACUUGAAGCCAAGGCCUCCACUGGCCGCGCUGGAGCCCGCCUUUGUGUGCGCCUCCUCGGACCUGGCUUUGACUGGUCUUCGAAUUUUGUGGCCAUCUCUCUCCCAUACACCUGUCUGAGCCCCCGCGCUGCUCACCCAGCCCCUGCCAUGCUGGACGCUGGCCCUUAUCUGCUGCCUGCAGCGGUCCCUGGGGACCCAGCCUCCCUCUUUCCCAACCCCCUCUCCUCCACUCUCCGCUUUUGGCUCCAAAAGCCUUGCUCAUCUCCACGCAAGGCCUGAAAUCCCCAUCCCAGAGGCCCGGAUUUCUUGUUUGUUCGUUCGUUUGUUUGCAAGGUUGAGCAGACAUGUCACUGGUGGGGGGGUGGGUGUCCAUAAUUGGGAGGAAGUGGGGAAGGAGGUGGCGGAGAGACGCUUCUCAGGCAGUCCAGAAGCUAAAUAAUAAAGCUCAUAAUGAUAAUAACUG